rnacentral:rRNA from 1 species
GAAUUCGCCCUUAGAGUUUUUUCCUGGCUCAGGACGAACGCUGGCGGCGCGCCUAACACAUGCAAGUCGAACGAGCGAGAGGAGGUUUACUUUCUCAAGCGAGUGGCGAACGGGUGAGUAACGCGUGAGGAACCUGCCUCAAAGAGGGGGACAACAGUUGGAAACGACUGCUAAUACCGCAUAAGCCCACGACCCGGCAUCGGGUAGAGGGAAAAGGAGCAAUCCGCUUUGAGAUGGCCUCGCGUCCGAUUAGCUAGUUGGUGAGGUAAUGGCCCACCAAGGCGACGAUCGGUAGCCGGACUGAGAGGUUGAACGGCCACAUUGGGACUGAGACACGGCCCAGACUCCUACGGGAGGCAGCAGUGGGGAAUAUUGCACAAUGGGGGAAACCCUGAUGCAGCGACGCCGCGUGGAGGAAGAAGGUCUUCGGAUUGUAAACUCCUGUUGUUGAGGAAGAUAAUGACGGUACCCAACAAGGAAGUGACGGCUAACUACGUGCCAGCAGCCGCGGUAAAACGUAGGUCACAAGCGUUGUCCGGAAUUACUGGGUGUAAAGGGAGCGCAGGCGGGAAGACAAGUUGGAAGUGAAAUCUAUGGGCUCAACCCAUAAACUGCUUUCAAAACUGUUUUUCUUGAGUAGUGCAGAGGUAGGCGGAAUUCCCGGUGUAGCGGUGGAAUGCGUAGAUAUCGGGAGGAACACCAGUGGCGAAGGCGGCCUACUGGGCACCAACUGACGCUGAGGCUCGAAAGUGUGGGUAGCAAACAGGAUUAGAUACCCUGGUAGUCCACACCGUAAACGAUG